rnacentral:rRNA from 1 species
UGGGGAAUCUUGCGCAAUGGGCGAAAGCCUGACGCAGCGACGCCGCGUGGGGGAUGAAGCUUUUCGGAGUGUAAACCCCUUUCGACCCGGAAGAAAGCCCGCAAGGGUCUGACGGUACGGGUAUAAGAAGCCCCGGCUAACUACGUGCCAGCAGCCGCGGUAAAACGUAGGGGGCCAGCGUUGCUCGGAAUUACUGGGCGUAAAGGGUUCGUAGGCGGUGUGGCAAGUUGGGAGUGAAAUCUCUGGGCUCAACCCAGAGGCUGCUUCCAAAACUGCUGUGCUUGAGUGUGAGAGAGGCUCGUGGAAUUGCAGGUGUAGCGGUGAAAUGCGUAGAUAUCUGCAGGAACACCCGUGGCGAAAGCGGCGAGCUGGAUCACUACUGACGCUGAGGAACGAAAGCUAGGGGAGCAAACAGGAUUAGAUACCCUGGUAGUCCUAGCCCUAAACGAUCAGGACUUGGGGUGCCGCCCGUUCGGGCGUCGUCCCGGAGCUAACGCGUUAAGUCCUGCACCUGGGGAGUACGGUCGCAAGACUG